AGUGUAAGGUUGCCUAGAAGAGAAGAAAUAGGCGGCGUGAAAAUGAUGGUGGUUUUGAGGCAAUUGCGGCCAGCCGUCAGUCACCUGUGGCGGAAGCCAGCGAGGUGCGGCGACCACCGUCUGGACUCCGGAGGAAGUGGAGGACAGUGUUGAAACAGUGUAGUCCUCAAACGAGUGUUGUGGGUUGAUAGGCUUGGUACGGCAUCAUCAACUUAUUUGUUACUGAUGUUGGUUCCUCAUACAAGCAGUUCGCGUAGAAUUAAGGAAUCAGACAUGUCAUGGGUUCGAACGAAGGGGGAAUUUUACGAUACAUAUUUUUCCUUUGAAUUGCGUCAUCGCCGCUCGAGAACAUAAGUUGCUUCAUAUGCGGUGACCGUUUAGGCGUAUGGCCUGUCAACUUUCUGCUGCGAUGAUAUGCAACAAUAUCCGUGUGCGAUAAUCAUGCUAUGAGGAGCAAUAUAUCUGUUGGAAGCU